rnacentral:rRNA from 1 species
GACGAACCGUGCAAACGUUGUUCGGAAUCACUGGGCUUAAAGGGCGCGUAGGCUGUUCGUUAAGUCUUGGGUGAAAUCUUUCGGCUUAACCGGAAAAUUGCCCGGGAUACUGGCGAGCUCGAGGGUGGUAGGGGCGAUCGGAACUGCCAGUGGAGCGGUGAAAUGCGUUGAUAUUGGCAGGAACGCCGGUGGCGAAAGCGGAUCGCUGGAUCACUCCUGACGCUGAGGCGCGAAAGCUAGGGGAGCAAACGGG